rfam:Gossypium hirsutum cultivar TM-1 chromosome 18, whole genome shotgun sequence
CACGUCAGCGCGAGUUGCUGACGUGGCAACAAAUCACGUCCUUAAGGGCGCAAUUUGCUGCCACGUCAGCAACUCGCGCUGACGUGG